CCAAUAGCGUAUAUUAAAGUUGUUGCAGUUAAAAAGCUCGUAGUUGAAUUUCGGGGUCAGCAGGUUGGUCGUGCCACUGGUAUGAACUGGUUUCGCUGAUUCCUCCUUUCUGAAGAACUGGUAAUGUCAUUAAUUUGGUGUUGCAGGGAAACAGGACUGUUACUUUGAAAAAAUUAGAGUGUUUAAAGCAGGCUAACGCUUGAAUACAUUAGCAUGGAAUAAUGAAAUAGGACGUUCAAACCUAUUUUGUUGGUUUCUAGGAUUGACGUAAUGAUUAAUAGGGAUAGUUGGGGGCAUUAGUAUUCAAUUGUCAGAGGUGAAAUUCUUGGAUUUAUUGAAGACUAACUACUGCGAAAGCAUUUGCCAAGGAUGUUUUCAUUAAUCAAGAACGAAAGUUAGGGGAUCGAAGACGAUCAGAUACCGUCGUAGUCUUAACCAUAAACUAUGCCGACUAGGGAUCGGAUGAUGUUAAUUUUUUAAUGACUCAUUCGGCGCCUUACG
rnacentral:rRNA from 1 species